UUAAGAUUUGACCAGAAUCAAAUUCACCUCUUUUGUCACAUAUUAAAAUAAAUUGUUUUCAUAUUGACUGUUAAGAAGUCAGUCUGUGUAUGAGCUGGAUAAAUAAAUCAUAUUCAUACAGCCCACUCACUGAAAGGAAAUUACUCUCAGGUCCUGCUGUUGUCAGUGUCCAGCCCACUCUUCUUAGGCUGUAUAUUUAUGUCUACUCCAGAGAUCAAACAUAGUUUUAAUUCUUAAAAGGGGCUACACAGGAGAUGUGCUCAGCCAUGCUCAGGGAUUGGCGUCAGAUGCAGUCAGAACAAGAACAAUGGGGCUCUUUCCAGGAAUCACGAGGAAGGCUUUGUUUGGAUUAUCCCUUGGUACACCGAUUACCAUUGCGCAGCAUCAUAAACGGGGGACAAUGAGGAACUGAAGGGAAUUCCCAGAAGCUGCAGAAACAGGCAUUCCACCAUGGUACACGUAAUUAGUGCAGCUCGCCUAUGACUAGAAACUCCACAGAGUCAUACCCAGCUUCUCUCUUUAUUUUUGCAAAUCAUGAAAGAAACCAAUCCUACAGAUAAAGUUGGAAGCUUUGAAAUACAGUAUCCAACUCAUAUGUGGAUUUUGCUAUUGCUAUUACUGUUGAUCCUGAGAUCACUACAUCUAAUAUUUCUUAGGAUCAGGGACUGAAACAUAUUUGUUAUUAUUAAAAACAAACAUUCAAGUACGAAACAGAAAUUUAAUAGAAAAGAUGACCAUUAAUAACACCUGUUCAGUUUCCUGUACUAGAAGAGGGGUAGUUUUGGCACAUACUGCACAUUCAGCAGGUCUAGAAAGAAAUCUCUGGGGGCAGCAGCUGUCCUUCUAUUAUGUGAUUGCACCAACUAUCAAAGUGAAUAUGCACUACUCAUUCACAAACAUAGAUGUUAUUACAAUUAAACAAACAAGUAGUAAUGGUGACAAAAGUUUAGAAAGAUUAUUUUUGAAAGAUUCUUCAGAAGACUAAUUGCAAAAGACCCUGCAGCAAACACACACAAUUUGUAAGAUAUUUAGAAACAAUCUGGUAUUAAUAGUUUUUGGCUGAUAUUAAGGAUUUCUCCCCUAAGAUUCAAAGUGGUAUCAUCACUUAGCCAGAAGAUGCAUCAGAACUGUUCUAAUGAAAUUAACUUUCUUCAAGACAGAAGUUUACAACUGAAAGAGCCAGUCCACAAUUCCCUUUCAGGAAAGAAGAAACAGUAAUAACAUUUAACUAAUUUAAUUUUGAUAUCAAGUUUUGUAAGGGUUUUAUAAUGUAAUAAUACAGAAGAAAUCAAAUCUCAGAACUAAGAUCUACUACUUGACAGGUUAUACACGAUUUUAAAAUAGCAUCACAGAAAUAGGACAUUAUUCUUUCUAAUGAAUAGUCCCAACAUGAAUUAAGUAAUUAAGUGCAGAUUGCACAGCCAACAAAAAAACCAACAAAUUCUGUUAAUGAAAUUGUUGUGUUCAAGAAAUCCUCUGGCAUGUUGAUUGUUCUAAACCCAAAGUGAUGUUUCAAAAGCAAUUACAGCAGUCAGUUCUUUAUUUUCCUGCUGCACAUCAAUUCAAAGCAACGUGCUGAAAGUCAAUCAGUUGCACGGUAAUUUCUUCAUCUGUUGUCAGUGGCAAAAAGGCAACAAAUGCUCUCCACCACAAACAGUUAAAUCACUAACUCUUUAACAGCAUACUCUUCAAAGAGUAACACUUUGGAGGCUUUUAUCUCACCAAAGAUAUUUUCAACAAAAAACAGAUUUACCAAUGGGAGCUGAAUGCACAGAUACCAGAAGAUACACAGAAAAAUGGCUACUGACAUGCUGCAAUUUGAUCUCUCAAGCAUUGUUCGGUGGGUUCUGUACAUAUAGGAGGCUGCAGUUCUCCUCCACAAGCACUGUGCAGUGCCAUGUGCUCAUGCCUGGCCAUGACUGGAGUGCACUAACACAACUGUACAACCCCAUGCCCACUCUUACACCAACAAUUCAGAACAAGAUAUGAGGCAACCAACUACAGCAGAUUUCAUGUCCCUAUGAAACACUGAAUACCAGAGAUAUCCAAACUUUAUACUUACAUAUCUAACUGUACAGAGUUGGUCUUGGAAGACCACCACAUGAGGUAAAGUAAAAGCAAGGAACCAUGGCCUAACAUCUAGUUUCUGUGACCUAUUAUUUGCCAACUGAGUCAAAAAGAAGCCUUAUGGUUUCAAAACAGCUGCUUUGGGAGAUAAGAAUAAAAAUGAAAAGGGAAAAGGCAAAAGACCAGACAGAUGGUUUCCAAUUCUUUUAAAAUCAUUCUGUAAUUGUCAAAAAUUCUUUUAAAAUCAUUCUUUCUGAGUCAAAUGAUUCGGUUCUGAUUUCAACUUAGAAUUUCUCUUUUUUUAGCUGCGCACUUAGAUCAGGAAGGGAUUGUUCGGACAUGCUUGAGUCAGAGCCUAACAGGGCCUCCUUAGCACAAAAUACCCUUAAACGAGGGAUUAGUCCCAUGAUAUGUGUCUGGAUUUAUAUGUAGAAGCAAUUCAGACUGGCCCACAUAUAAUUCUUUGACCCAUAUUCAUAGUUCUACAGGCAGAGGAGAAAUAGUAUGACUACUAGGAGGAAAAAUUGUUAAGUGUCUCAUACUUCCUUAAUAAAAUCUGAUUUACGAAAACUGUUUCCCUGAAAAUAAACAACAGAAGAUAGAAGAUUUACUACUCAAUGUUCACACCAUCUUUUCAGCCUAUGAAUUACCUGAAAAGCUGCCAGCUUUUCAACAAAAAUCAGAUCACACUCUCUCUGUGCUAUUUCUUUGAACACACUGUUGGUUUUCCCAGUAACAAACACGUAUCUCCCCAGUUAAAUAUUCGGAGCCGUUUGCUGCAGCUCUGGCUGUAACUCUGGCAGACUUCCAGGGCUAUCUAUUCAGCAAGUUUCAAAGCAACCCAGAGUCAGCCGGCAGUUUGAGAAGUUCUCAGUCCCUCCUUGGGCUCACACAUUGGCCUCAAACGGUUCUACAAAUAUAAACAAAAUAGCAAUUUUUUCCAGUGUGCUUCUGGAGCAUGCUUUCCACUUUAAUUUUGUUUGUGAGGCAUUGGCUGCUCUGCAAUGUGAGCCAUUGCACAGGUAGGGUGAACAACAGGGAGAUUCACUUCAAAACUGCACUCCUGAUAUAAAGCAAAGACCUAGUGAAGAUGCACUGUCUUUCUAUCUUAUUAGAGAGACUUAAAUACUUAGAGCAAGUUUUUCUGUUAGAGUUGAGACUAAAUGUGGAUUUUAACUUGCAAAUUCAGAAAAGGUGAAAAAUCACAUAAGACAUGGGCUGUCAUUCAGGUCACAGACCAGCCAGACAACCAGUUUAAACACUUUUCUGAAGAUAAGAUUUCAAAGAAAUCUCCAGGACUGCCACAUGGCUAAGUCAGGGACAACCUCGCUACAGAAAGGCAGCAGAGCAUGGCAACAACCAUUUUAAAAAAUAGGGAUAUUGGCAUAGAUAGGUAAAAUCCUACCUUCCCACAAUAAACUUUUGCUUUACUGUAUUUGAAGUAUGAAAUUUUCUCCUCUCUCUUGAGUGCAGUUUUAUAUUUGCAGGGACUUUUGAAACUCCCAUCAACUGAUCAAAACACUGAGAUUCUAUUUUUACAAUAUACAACAGAUGACCUAUUUUUAUGACAUGGACCAAAACAAGAAGCUGAACAGCAGCAAAGUACAUAUUUUGAUAUUUCAAAGACUGGGUGAUAUUUACUCUAAGUUUUGUGUGUUUUGUCUAAUUGUUAGCAACGAAACUGCAAAUACGCACUUUACAUUUAGUGAGACUUGGGUAUGUUACAUCAUUAAAUCAAAGACUCCAUAGUUCAUUCUCUAGUCUUAGUCUUUAAGUGUGAAUAAGUUGGAAACAAAUUGUAUUCCUUAAAAACACAAGUAGACCUUUAAGAUAUUUAUUUACAACAGUUAAGUAUAUUAAAAUGUCACUCUUUAAAGUCUUGUUAAUUCUACUGCAUUUCUAAGUUACUGGCAUUAUACUUACUAUGGCCAGGAUAAAAAUCCUUUAUCAGCUGGAAGUAAAACAGUCUGCCACCUAAUAUGCAUUCAUUUUAAAGAUCUCCCAAACAGAAACAGUCAGAUCCUGUCAACACCUCCAACUGUACUGUGUUUUCAUGUCCUGGGAAAGCUCCAUCUAUUUCUAUCAGCAUAUAGCAACUGUUUUUCUGCAGUGCAAUCUAUUUGUGUUGUUCCUCAUCUGCACAAUGAACAGAAAUUACUAUUCAGUUUCCUGCAUAUUUAAAGACAAGGAGUUUCUAUGCAAUCUUAAGCAAUAGAUCAACCAAUAUACUUUAAAAUUAAGCAUAUUCAUCCAUUUCUAACAACCAUUUGAGUUUUAACUAAUUUCAUAGCGAAUGUAAUAAAUUAAAACUUUCUAAGUGAAAGGUUGUGUGCUGUCUGAAAAGACCUCUUGGAUUACUACUUUGUAUUCAUAGUUCUCUCAGAGGCUUUGCAUCAUGCAUCUCACAUGCUGAGACUUUUUUUUUCCUUGGUAGUUAAAUUUGAUCCAAAAAUCUCAAUUCACAAAACAUUGUGGUCAGCAUUGCAAGACUGAGCAAUACAGACAAGGUUUCUUAAAUAGAGCAGGUCACGUUAAGCAGGACUUCUGAUUUUGUACAUGAACACAUGCAGUUAACUAGCAGAUCCUGGAUUGCCCAACCACUCCUUCUGCAAGAGCAAACACAGAAUCAUAUUCAUUUUUGUAGAUGCCGUACUGUAAGUUUCCGUUUGUUUUUUUAAGUGUUAUACAAUUAAAAAUUCUAGUGGCUUGGAAAACCCCUUAACUCAUCAAAACUUCAGCUUCCAUUCUAAAAAUUAAUCCAGCCAACUUUGUUUGAUUUUCUGUUCUAAAUGUAUUGAUUUUCUACUAAAAAGAAAAUCUAAUUACACUGUAUUUUAAUCUCUAAACAAAAGACCAGCACUGCAAUGCAAAUAUUUUAGGUGUAAAAGCUAACCAGAAUAAUCUGAUUUUAAUCUUGAUGCUUGAAGCCCACACAUUAAAAAUAAAAUAAAAUAAAUAAAUAAAUAUAAACCAGACUUUUAAAAACUUAAUACUUUGUGUAGAAAUGGCCUUUUCUUUUUAAAUGACAGAAAAUAAUCUUUUUUUCAGAAAAGUAAUUUACAAUAGCCAAGUUCUUGGAACUCGAGAGGCACAUUUAAAACUGCUGUCCAAGCUUUCACCACUUCAAGCUUCAUUUUAUUGCAAACCACA